UGGCCUGUGAUGGACCAUGAUGAUCAAUACCUGCAGCUGGACAUCCAGCCUUCUGUGAGUCAAGCCCUGAAGGCCAGAAGGCUGAAGUUCUGGACCAAGACUCUGCCCCAGAAGAUCCAGGAGCUAAAGGGGGCUCAGGAGAGGCACAAAGAGUUGUAGUGCCCUGUGUGAAGAAAGGCAUGUGGGCUUCAUGUCUGAGGGAUUCUGCAGACACUGUGAAGCCCACACUUGUGUAAACAGCUAUGUGAAGAUCUUCAACUAUGUGUGUGUCCUAGAGAUGAUAUGGGAGAGAAAAAGAAUGCCUGGGCAUGUGUAUCAGAAGAGAUUUCUGUCCCUGGCACCCUGAUGGCUACUCCAUGUAUGGAAAUGACUUCUUUUCAUUCAUAAAAUCCUAAUAAAACCAACCUUUUCACGAUA
rnacentral:sRNA from 1 species